GGGGCGGUAGCUCAGCCUGGGUAAAUUCAGGCUUGCCUGUGUUCAGGAUAGAGCACACGGCUGAAGACCGUGGUGUCAUGGAUUCAAAUUCCAUCCGCCCCA
rnacentral:tRNA from 1 species